rnacentral:rRNA from 1 species
GAUGAACGCUGGCGGCGUGCCUAAUACAUGCAAGUCGAGCGAACAGACGAGGAGCUUGCUCCUCUGGCGUUAGCGGCGGACGGGUGAGUAACACGUGGAUAACCUACCUAUAAGACUGGGAUAACUUCGGGAAACCGGAGCUAAUACCGGAUAAUAUAUUGAACCGCAUGGAUCAAUAGUGAAAGACGGUUUUGCUGUCUCUUAUAGAUGGAUCCGCGCCGCAUUAGCUAGUUGGUAAGGUAACGGCUUACCAAGGCAACGAUGCGUAGCCGACCUGAGAGGGUGAUCGGCCACACUGGAACUGAGACACGGUCCAGACUCCUACGGGAGGCAGCAGUAGGGAAUCUUCCGCAAUGGGCGAAAGCCUGACGGAGCAACGCCGCGUGAGUGAUGAAGGUCUUCGGAUCGUAAAACUCUGUUAUUAGGGAAGAACAAAUGUGUAAGUAACUAUGCACGUCUUGACGGUACCUAAUCAGAAAGCCACGGCUAACUACGUG